rnacentral:rRNA from 1 species
GACGUAGGAUGCGAGCGUUGUCCGGAUUUAUUGGGCGUAAAGAGUUCGUAGGUGGUUUGUUAAGUCUGAUGUUAAAGAUCGAAGCUCAACUUCGGGACAGCAUUGGAUACUGGCAGACUUGAGUAUGGUAGAGGCUAGUGGAAUUCCCAGUGUAGCGGUGAAAUGCGUAGAUAUUGGGAAGAACACCGGUGGCGUAGGCGACUAGCUGGGCCAUAACUGACGCUGAGGAACGAAAGCCAGGGGAGCGAAAGGG